UUAUAUUGUUAGUAUAAAUUUAAUUAUACUAUUUUUCCAAAAUAGUGAUCUAGGUUUAGACAAUAUAAU
rnacentral:tRNA from 1 species